rnacentral:rRNA from 1 species
GACAGAGGAUGCAAGCGUUAUCCGGAAUGAUUGGGCGUAAAGCGUCUGUAGGUGGCUUUUUAAGUCCGCCGUCAAAUCCCAGGGCUCAACCCCGGGAGGCGGGCGGAUACUGUCGAGCUAGAGUCCGGAAGAGGCGAGUGGAAUUCCUGGUGUAGCGGUGAAAUGCGCAGAUAUCAGGAGGAACACCAAUGGCGAAGGCAGCUCGCUGGGACGGUACUGACGCUGAGACGCGAAAGCGUGGGGAGCAAACAGG